GCCGCGGCCCGGGAGCCCCAGGCGCGCCUCCGCGUCGCGGCCUCCGGGGACCCUCCCAGGAGAGGCCCGCGCGCUCCCGGCCUCGAGGAAGCCCCGGCCGGCGCGGUAGGCGGGUUUCCUGAGAGGUGUGUGUGCAGGAGCACACUCUUCCCUCCGGGGAGGAGGAGGAGGAGGAGGAGGCGACUCCCGCGGCAGAGAAGAGUCCCGCGUCCUGGGUUCCGGGCACACCCAAACCGGACUUCAGCCUCAUGUCUACACUGCAUUUUUGGAGAAGCUGUGGCCUCUGACAGACAAGCAAGUGGAAGCCAGGGGAUCUGCAUCUGCUGGAACCUCAGGGCCAACUAACCCUGCCUGUCUGUUCUUUAAGGAUACUUGGACUUUGCUUGCUUGAGAUCAAGGAAUUGGAUUUUUUGAAAAUAAAUCCCAGAAAUGGAAAUUCACACUCAGUAUCUUGCACAAAUAUUUUAAUUUCUGAGUGGCCUGGGGUGAGCCAAGAGGAUAGGAUCCUUUGUGCCAUAGCCAUGGCGGAUCCUGAAAGAGCAGAAAACCUUCAGCUCAGGGUGGAAAGGCAAUAAUUUAGACACACAGAGAAAAUUCCCAGCUAGAAGGGGAAAAAAAA